rnacentral:rRNA from 1 species
GAAGGCUGAAAUUACGCCUUCAUGAAGCUGGAAUUGCUAGUAAUGGCAGGUCAGCAUACUGCCGUGAAUACGUUCCCGGGCCUUGUACACACCGCCCGUCACACCAUGAGAGUUGGGAAUACCCGAAGCCUGUGAGCUAACUUAUAGAGGCAGCAGUCGAAGGUAGAAUCAAUGAUUGGGGUGAAGUCGUAACAAGGUAGC